rnacentral:misc_RNA from 1 species
UGGGGCUUGCCUGGGCACAUGUGGGA